GACGAACGCUGGCGGCGUGCUUAACACAUGCAAGUCGAACGGUGAUGCUCCAGCUUGCUGGCGUGGAUCAGUGGCGAACGGGUGAGUAACACGUGAGCAACCUGCCCCAGACUCUGGAAUAAGCGCUGGAAACGGCGUCUAAUACUGGAUACGAAACUGGCCCGCAUGGGCAUGGUUUGGAAAGUUUUUCGGUUUGGGAUGGGCUCGCGGCCUAUCAGCUUGUUGGUGAGGUAAUGGCUCACCAAGGCGAGGACGGGUAGCCGGCCUGAGAGGGCGACCGGGCCCAGGGGGGAAUGGGACACGGCCGGACGCCGGCGGGGGGAAGGGGGGGGGAAAUUGUCCAAAUGGGCCAAAGGCGUGUGGAGGGACGCCGGGGGGGGGAGGACGGCCUUUGGGUUGGAAAACCCUUUCGGGAGGGAAGAAGGGGAAGGAACGGUCCCGGCAAAAAAAGCCCCGGUUAACUCGGG
rnacentral:rRNA from 1 species